rnacentral:rRNA from 1 species
AUGAACGCUGGCGGCGUGCUUAACACAUGCAAGUCGAACGAUUAACCCGCCCUCGGGCGGUUAUAGAGUGGCGAACGGGUGAGUAACACGUGACCAACCUGCCCCUUGCUCCGGGACAACCCAGGGAAACCUCGGCUAAUACCGGAUACUCCGCGCAGCCCGCAUGGGAGGCGCGGGAAAGCCCAGACGGCAAGGGAUGGGGUCGCGGCCCAUUAGGUAGACGGCGGGGUAACGGCCCACCGUGCCCGCGAUGGGUAGCCGGGUUGAGAGACCGAUCGGCCACAUUGGGACUGAGAUACGGCCCAGACUCCUACGGGAGGCAGCAGUGGGGAAUUUUGCGCAAUGGGGGAAACCCUGACGCAGCAACGCCGCGUGCGGGACGAAGGCCUUCGGGUUGUAAACCGCUUUCAGCAGGGAAUAUAGUGAAGGUACCUGCAGAAGAAGCUCCGGCUAACUACGUGCCAGCAGCCGCGGUAAUACGUAGGGAGCGAGCGUUAUCCGGAUUCAUUGGGCGUAAAGCGCGCGUAGGCGGCCCGUCAAGCGGGGUUUCAAAUCCAGGGGCUCAACCUCUGGCCGGACCCCGAACUGGCGGGCUCGAGUGCGGUAGAGGAAGGUGGAAUUCCCAGUGUAGCGGUGAAAUGCGCAGAUAUUGGGAAGAACACCGAUGGCGAAGGCAGCCUUCUGGGCCGCCACUGACGCUGAGGCGCGAAAGCUAGGGGAGCGAACAGGAUUAGAUACCCUGGUAGUCCUAGCCGUAAACGAUGGGCACUAGGUGUGGGGGAGCAUCUCCUCCGUGCCGCAGCCAACGCAUUAAGUGCCCCGCCUGGGGAGUACGGCCGCAAGGCUAAAACUCAAAGGAAUUGACGGGGGCCCGCACAAGCAGCGGAGCAUGUGGCUUAAUUCGAAGCAACGCGAAGAACCUUACCAGGUCUUGACAUCCCGAUGACCGCUUCUUAAUCGAAGCUUUUCUUCGGAACAUCGGAGACAGGUGGUGCAUGGUUGUCGUCAGCUCGUGUCGUGAGAUGUUGGGUUAAGUCCCGCAACGAGCGCAACCCCUGUCGCGUGUUGCCAGCAUUGAGUUGGGGACUCGCGCGAGACUGCCGGCGUCAAGCCGGAGGAAGGUGGGGACGACGUCAAGUCAUCAUGCCCCUUAUGCCCUGGGCUGCACACGUGCUACAAUGGCCGGUACAACGGGCUGCGACGCCGCGAGGCGGAGCGAAUCCCUCAAAGCCGGCCCCAGUUCGGAUCGCAGGCUGCAAUUCGCCUGCGUGAAGCCGGAGUUGCUAGUAAUCGCGGAUCAGCAUGCCGCGGUGAAUACGUUCCCGGGCCUUGUACACACCGCCCGUCACACCACUCGAGUCGUCUGCACCCGAAGUCGCCGGCCGAACCCGCAAGGGGCGGAGGCGCCGAAGGUGUGGAGGGUAAGAGGGGUG